ACAAUGCAGUUUUAGUGUGAGUGCUGAAGAAAGAGGUCGCUUCUUUGCAUGAAUAAAUAUAUAAAGAGCUAUGUACAUACGAAAAAUAGUUGCCUUUAAGCAAGAGAAUUACUAUAAUAAAAUAUUCUGCGUUGGUUGUGCCUUUGCAGUAAGAUAUUUCAGAGGUACAGUUUACCGAACUGGAAACAGAAGUCAGCUUAAUUAAAUACGUAGAUAAGUAUCAAAAAAGUAGCAAAUGGAAAGAAGACUUGGAUUGCUAAAGGCCUGUCAGACGUGGCAACGGAAGUGAUUUUGAAACUCUAUCCAGCUCAACAAUUUCAAAGGUGACUGCAAUACAUAUAAGUAAUUUUGUGAUUAUUUUCUUAGAGUCCACUGGACCCCACGUAAGCAAAGCGUUAUUAUUAGGAGGAGUGACCGCAACGGGUUAAAACGUGUUUGUAGUAUCAUCAGUAGAAGUUGUCAUUAGCCUUAAGUUCACCUGCGGCACACCCAUUACUUUGCAAUUUGCAACAACUACCAACAAAUACAAACAACAGCUACUUGUGAACUAAAUAAAUCAUUUAAGUAAACUAAAUAAAUAAAUAAUCAUCAGUAUGCA